rnacentral:rRNA from 1 species
AUGGGCUGUGUGAAGAAAAAAAAGGCUCUGGUACGUGAGAUGGGGUUCGAAGGACUAUUGGAAUUACCAGCAAUAAUAAAGGCAAACAGGCAACAAUCCAUGUGGCUUAUGAGCAAAGUUGACGAGAAGGCAUCUGCUAUCAUAAUUGAUGCUAGGAGAGACUUACCUUUCAACGACAGAGACGUCGGCAAGGUACUGGGGGUGCCAUCAGUAGGAUCUCCUGUUAACAAGAAUGCACCGCCGCACGUGGCAGGUACUGUACGUGAGAUCUUAGGAAUCGGCAAUGGAGAAAAAAAGAUCACACCCAUAGUUAACAUAGUGAAGAUUCGGUAUGGCAGAGCUAUGACAAAGGCUGAAGCAGACAAGUUCAAGGUUGCCUUCGCAAUUUGCGCGAUGACUUUCCUCCUGGCACCUUCGCUGAAGCACAACUAUUUCAUGACAGAUUAUUGGAAUGCCUUGCACAUACCUGAUAUGAUUCAAAUGUUCAAUUGGGGAUGGUACAUUAGAGAAGAGCUCCUUUCUUCUCCUGGUAGGGUGAAGUCUGAACUGCUAGGUGGGAAAUUGAAGUCAAAUCUCACUGGAUGCACGUUCUUCUUGCAGGUUUUUCUAUCUUGA